GUAAGAGAGCAAAACCAAUACUUACCACCUGAUCAAAGCGAUACGUCUGUACUUACAGAAUGCAUGCAAACGAUUUCUAUGGAACAAACAACAACCGGGUUUUCCACUGAUGAAGACCGCUGUGGCCAAUCUACAUUCUAGAAGGGGUUCUGAUAACGCUCUCAUUGAGAAC